rnacentral:tRNA from 1 species
GGGGAGGUAGCUCAAUUGGACAGAGCAGCGCACUGUUAAUGCGAAGGUUAUCAGUUCGAGUCUGGUCCACCCCG